CGAACGGGUGAGUAACACGUAGGUGACCUGCCUCGAAGUGGGGGACAACCAUUGGAAACGAUGGCUAAUACCGCAUUGUCCUAUUUGUUGUGGGAACACGAAUAGGUAAAGCUCUGGCGCUUCGAGAGGGGCCUGCGUCCGAUUAGCUAGUUGGUGGGGUAAUGGCCUACCAAGGCGACGAUCGGUAGCUGGUCUGAGAGGACGAUCAGUCACACGGGAACUGAGACACGGUCCCG
rnacentral:rRNA from 1 species